GACGAACGCCGGCGGCGUGCCUAAUACAUGCAAGUCGAACGAGAGCGACCGGUGCUUGCACUGGUCAAUCUAGUGGCGAACGGGUGAGUAACACGUGGGUAACCUGCCCAUCAGAGGGGGAUAACAUUCGGAAACGGAUGCUAAAACCGCAUAGGUCCUUUAACCGCAUGGUUGAAGGAGGAAAAGAGGCGCAAGCUUCUGCUGAUGGAUGGACCCGCGGUGCAUUAGCUAGCUGGUGAGGUAACGGCUCACCAAGGCCGUGAUGCAUAGCCGACCUGAGAGGGUGAUCGGCCACAUUGGGACUGAGACACGGCCCAAACUCCUACGGGAGGCAGCAGUAGGGAAUCUUCCGCAAUGGACGCAAGUCUGACGGAGCAACGCCGCGUGAGUGAAGAAGGUUUUCGGAUCGUAAAACUCUGUUGUUAGAGAAGAACAAGUGCUAGAGUAACUGUUAGCGCCU
rnacentral:rRNA from 1 species